rnacentral:rRNA from 1 species
UAUGAAACCCAUUUGGGCAAGAGUAGUACUAGGAUGGGUGACCUCCUGGGAAGUCCUCGUGAAAGGGUUUCAUAU